UUUCCAAACACAUGAUGUAUUGAUUGGUUAUAGUUGCUACACGCUCAUUCGUCCAAACUUAGGCAGUUCUAUUCACACUUUUCCGUACGCAAUUCUGGUAAAAAACUCAGAUCCUUUAAACAGCACUGGCGCAUCUACGUUUCCUGCGAAAAAAGAGACCGAGCACAUGUACUCUUCUGAGCUUCUACCUCCUUCUACUUUCUCAUUCAUCGGCUUCUUGAGUAUCGUGCUCCUCUUUCUCCUUGUCUGCUCAGCGAAUAACAGCUACGAGAGAAUUUCUGGAACAAAUGGAUCGAGCUACCUGUAAUGGGGCACCCGCCAGUGCGGGUUUUGUUUCCUCGCCUGCGUGUUUCUCUCGGGACUUCUCCAUGCUUCCAUCACGAGGGCGUCCUUCAAAACGAAAGGCGUAGGUUGCUCUUUUCGCAGUUCUAAAAAGAGUGAGGGUUCACGGCAUCUCCAUUUUUCGUCUUGUAUUCAGAACCUUUUCUGUUUGUGCUGGUCUAGCUUGAGCACGGCGCUCCCGGUUACCGAUUCACCGAUACCAGGAAACAGCGCAGCCCGAGCCAAGUCUUUAAAUAACGGGGCAGAGAGCUGUGUUCCUUUCUUGGGAGCAGCUUGGAAAAGAUACGGAUUUCCAAUCUCCUUGUGCUUACACGGUGCCAUCGCUGAAACUGGUUAACAUGGUGAUGCAGCCAAGCAUUUGAGUUCAAGUUCUCUCACUUUAGACACGGUAUUCAGGUGAAAAAAAUUCAGUUUACCCAGUACUGAAGCCAGCGCGCUCAGUGACACAGACUUUUUGUAACGCACCCGUAUGCGGCUUUUCGUGAGGUACGUAUUAAUGAGUCUGGCAGCGUAGAGAGCGCCAAAGGUUCAUGGUGCCCCGUGCGCGUCAUGCUGGUGUGAUUUAAAGAAAGGGUCGUCGCAAACGUGGCGAUGGAUUAAUUGCCUUUUUGGUCUGUUCUGAAAAAGGUGAGCGGGUCGGAAACAUCGGCUGGGAUGAUGAUAGGCUUGGUCAACACAGGGGUGACUGGGCCCCAGGAAACUGGCCCCCACCGACACUCAAUAUCUCUGCUGACCGUCGGGAUAGGCACGCAUAUUCGAUUGCAUGCUUAUUUUCACGGUACAUCGAUCGAGAGGAAAAGAGAGAGACUCACAAAUCCCCCCACUCUGUGCCCAUCGCCUCCAGGCUGUUGGAUAUAAUGGUCUAGCUGGACUGCAAACAGAUAUUCACUCAUCUUUCCCUGCCUUCCUACACGUUCGUCUCUCUCCAAAAUUAUCUGUGUAAAAUUGAGUAUGGAACGGAAGAAGGAGGGCGGAAGGCGGGCAACGCCCUCGGCAAGAAAAGGUCAAGACAAGCAGGUUCGAGAUGGGAAUGAACACCCACGGGACACCGUGGACGACAGAAAGUGAGGCGGUUUUGUUCAGAAGUCGUCGUCAAGUCUGCGAGCAGAGACGAGAGGCUGUCCAUUGUCAUCCUCGCUCUCGGUUUCUGUAGCAUUUCCUGCGCCUCUCGGGAGAGGGAUGUCGAGGAGGCCCGUGGGUGUGCCCCACUUGGGCAAUCCAUUCUCGUAGAAAAGACCAAAGUUGUUUUCGAACUUGUUUCCAUGUUCAAUUUCGAACUUGAACAUUUCAUCAAAAGCUUCAAAAAG
rnacentral:lncRNA from 1 species